rnacentral:rRNA from 1 species
UACAGAGGUCCCGAGCGUUGUUCGGAUUCACUGGGCGUAAAGGGUGCGUAGGUGGCCUAAAAAGUUUGAUGUGAAAGCUCAGGGCUUAACCCUGAAAUGGCAUUGAAUACUGUUGGGCUGGAGGUUUGGAGGGGGGACUGGAAUUCUUGGUGUAGCAGUGAAAUGCGUAGAUAUCAAGAGGAACACCAGUGGCGAAGGCGAGUCCCUGGACAACACCUGACACUGAGGCACGAAAGCCGGGGGAGCAAAC